rnacentral:pre_miRNA from 1 species
UUUGUAUUCCCUCUGUCUCAUAUUAGGCGUCGCAACUUUGUUUAGAUACACAUGUGUAUCUAGACGUGUUUUAAUGUGUAGGUAAUGCGUAUCUAGACAAAGUUGCGACACUUAAUGUGAGACGGAGGGAGUAUGUG